rnacentral:rRNA from 1 species
UGAAGAGUUUGAUCAUGGCUCAGAUUGAACGCUGGCGGCAGGCCUAACACAUGCAAGUCGAACGGUAACAGGAAGCAGCUUGCUGCUUUGCUGACGAGUGGCGGACGGGUGAGUAAUGUCUGGGAAACUGCCUGAUGGAGGGGGAUAACUACUGGAAACGGUGGCUAAUACCGCAUAACGUCGCAAGACCAAAGAGGGGGACCUUCGGGCCUCUUGCCAUCAGAUGUGCCCAGAUGGGAUUAGCUUGUUGGUGAGGUAACGGCUCACCAAGGCGACGAUCCCUAGCUGGUCUGAGAGGAUGACCAGCCACACUGGAACUGAGACACGGUCCAGACUCCUACGGGAGGCAGCAGUGGGGAAUAUUGCACAAUGGGCGCAAGCCUGAUGCAGCCAUGCCGCGUGUAUGAAGAAGGCCUUCGGGUUGUAAAGUACUUUCAGCGGGGAGGAAGGUGUUGUGGUUAAUAACCGCAGCAAUUGACGUUACCCGCAGAAGAAGCACCGGCUAACUCCGUGCCAGCAGCCGCGGUAAUACGGAGGGUGCAAGCGUUAAUCGGAAUUACUGGGCGUAAAGCGCACGCAGGCGGUCUGUCAAGUCGGAUGUGAAAUCCCCGGGCUCAACCUGGGAACUGCAUUCGAAACUGGCAGGCUUGAGUCUUGUAGAGGGGGGUAGAAUUCCAGGUGUAGCGGUGAAAUGCGUAGAGAUCUGGAGGAAUACCGGUGGCGAAGGCGGCCCCCUGGACAAAGACUGACGCUCAGGUGCGAAAGCGUGGGGAGCAAACAGGAUUAGAUACCCUGGUAGUCCACGCCGUAAACGAUGUCUACUUGGAGGUUGUGCCCUUGAGGCGUGGCUUCCGGAGCUAACGCGUUAAGUAGACCGCCUGGGGAGUACGGCCGCAAGGUUAAAACUCAAAUGAAUUGACGGGGGCCCGCACAAGCGGUGGAGCAUGUGGUUUAAUUCGAUGCAACGCGAAGAACCUUACCUGGUCUUGACAUCCACAGAAGAAUCCAGAGAUGGAUUUGUGCCUUCGGGAACUGUGAGACAGGUGCUGCAUGGCUGUCGUCAGCUCGUGUUGUGAAAUGUUGGGUUAAGUCCCGCAACGAGCGCAAC